rnacentral:rRNA from 1 species
UACGAAGGGGGCUAGCGUUGUUCGGAAUUACUGGGCGUAAAGCGCACGUAGGCGGACAUUUAAGUCAGGGGUGAAAUCCCAGAGCUCAACUCUGGAACUGCCUUUGAUACUGGGUGUCUUGAGUACGGAAGAGGUGAGUGGAAUUCCGAGUGUAGAGGUGAAAUUCGUAGAUAUUCGGAGGAACACCAGUGGCGAAGGCGGCUCACUGGUCCAUUACUGACGCUGAGGUGCGAAAGCGUGGGGAGCAAACAGGG